rnacentral:tRNA from 1 species
AGGUCUAGCUCAGUGGUAGAGUGCCUGCUUAGCAUGCAAGAGGUUCUGGGUUCAAUCCCCAGUAUACCUC